rnacentral:rRNA from 1 species
ACAUAGCAAUAUGUUAGUGGCGACCGGGUGCGUAACACGUAGCUAACCUGCCCUUCAACGGGGGACAACUGUUGGAAACGACAGCUAAUACCGCAUGAUGUCGGAGCGAACAAAUAGUUUCGACUAAACUUACGGGGUUGAAGGAGGGGGCUGCGGCCCAUCAGGUAGUUGGAGAGGUAAAAGCUCACCAAGCCAAUGACGGGUAGGGGACCUGAGAGGGUGGUCCCCCACACUGGGACUGACAACGGCCCAGACUCCUACGGGAGGCAGCAGUAAGGGAUAUUGCGCAAUGGGCGAAAGCCUGACGCAGCAACGCCGCGUGGAGGAUGAAGGCCUUCGGGUUGUAAACUUCUUUUAGCAGGGACGAGGAAGGACGGUACCUGCGGAAUCAGUCACGGCUAACUACGUGCCAGCAGCCGCGGUAAAACGUAGGUGGCAAGCGUUAUCCGGAUUUACUGGGCGUAAAGGGUGUGCAGGCGGGUUGGCAAGUGGUGUAUGAAAUCUCCCAGCUUAACUGGGAUAGGUUAUGCCAGACUGCCAAUCUAGAGGACGAGAGAGGGGGGUGGAAUUCCGGGUGUAGUGGUGAAAUGCGUAGAGAUCCGGAGGAACCCCAGAGGCGAAGGCGGCCCCCUGGCUCGUACCUGACGCUCAGCCACGAAAGCAUGGGGAGCGAACGGGAUUAGAAACCCCGGUAGUCCAUGCCGUAAACGAUGCAAACUAGGCGCUGACGGUCUCAACCCCGCCGGUGCCGCAGCUAACGCGCUAAGUUUGCCGCCUGGGGAGUACGGUCGCAAGGCUAAAACUC